rnacentral:rRNA from 1 species
AUUGAACGCUGGCGGCAUGCUUUACACAUGCAAGUCGAGCGGGGUGAUGGUGCUUGCACUAUCACUUAGCGGCGGACGGGUGAGUAAUGCUUAGGAAUCUGCCUAUUAGUGGGGGACAACAUCUCGAAAGGGAUGCUAAUACCGCAUACGUCCUACGGGAGAAAGCAGGGGAUCACUUGUGACCUUGCGCUAAUAGAUGAGCCUAAGUCGGAUUAGCUAGUUGGUGGGGUAAAGGCCUACCAAGGCGACGAUCUGUAGCGGGUCUGAGAGGAUGAUCCGCCACACUGGGACUGAGACACGGCCCAGACUCCUACGGGAGGCAGCAGUGGGGAAUAUUGGACAAUGGGGGGAACCCUGAUCCAGCCAUGCCGCGUGUGUGAAGAAGGCCUUAUGGUUGUAAAGCACUUUAAGCGAGGAGGAGGCUCUUUUGGUUAAUACCCAGAAUGAGUGGACGUUACUCGCAGAAUAAGCACCGGCUAACUCUGUGCCAGCCGCCGCGGUAAAAC